rnacentral:lncRNA from 1 species
CUGUUGUCAGACCCCAAACAAUCUCCUUCAGCUGAUCAUGUCCUGCUGAUGAAAAGCAACUGCUGACUAAAAUCCUUCCCUGUGCAUCUCCAGAGUCUUCCUGUGACCUCGGGGAGUGGGUCUGGGCCUGGAACGGCCCUGUGGAAUGUCAGAGAAGAGCUCUUCUCAGCUCUAAGCUGGAUCCAAGAGAGAAGAAGCCAAACUUCUGUUGCAAUAUGGCUCUGGGCAUUGCCUCCUUUCUCAGACACCUUGUUUCUUUGCUCUGCUAUACAGAAUGCAGGUAACCAGAAAAGGUCCAGCACACCAUUAAAUUUGCAUUA